UGUCCCAUUUUUCCUAUCCCUUUCCCCUUUGCUCUCUUAGCCCUCGAGAAACCUAACGAAGCUGGCGGCUGAGGAGACGACUCGGCUGGUGCUUUGCUGGGCCGCUCCAAUGGCGACGUCGACCCCGUCGGCCGCUAUCUCCCUUGCCGCCGCCGCUCCACACUGAUUUCGCUGCCUCUGCGAUGCCUCCCUCCCUCCAAGGCGAUUGCAUCAUCCGAGGCGGGGUCACGGCACCUUCCCAGAUGCGGCGGAGGCACCACAUCCCAUGGCGACGGCGGCCUGGAGCUCCUCCCACUCUGCUUCGUCCCCACGUUGAUGCAGGCCAUCUGCAGUGAGAUCCUGCCGAGGUGCGCGGUCUUCUUGGUGGAUCCAGCUGAGGCGCGCGACGGGAUCCCGCGCGAGGGGAUCGAGGCGGUCCAGCGGCGCGUGUUCAUCUCGGUGGAUCCAGCCGAAGUGCACGAGGGAAUCAGCCUAGGGGUUGGAAUUGGUGACUGAGGAGGAGGCGGCGCCGGCGAGGGUGCACAAGCCGUGCACAAGGCCACGAUGACUCCACAAAGACUGUUGCGCUCUCCAUGACCCUCGAUCGCGUGCUCUCCGACCUCGACUCUCUCCUCAUCAUUGACGGGUGAAGAAAAUUUCUUCUAGCGGUGAGGCAGUGGGAAAUAAUCUUGAUGCAACAGCGGAAGUGAUACAGAUCCUAGCCUCCUCCCCUUGUGUAUGUUCUAGCAGAGACAGAUAGGAGAUUCAGAUAGGAGCGAUGGACAAAUUUUGUCUCCUCUAUGUUAAAUUUCGUUGAUCUUUUCUCUCCUAUACGUUGUCCGAUUUUCUUGAUUGUUGGCCAUAUAUUUGUGUACUCAAAAUGAUGCUGCCCAAUGUAUAUCUUCAGUAUAUGCUGCUGUCUAAUGCUUAUACAGCGGAGGGGAUGUUCCCGAGGAGCCGACCUAAAUGGCUCUGUCUACGCAGUAGCCGUGGAUUGGAUGCACAAUUGUUCCACUUUGCAAACAAGAACCAUGUCAGGAAGCCAUGAUCUGGAGUGGUCAUCGCUCAACAAACGUGAGGCAUCCUUCCUCAUUAACCCCCGUGGUUUGUAAAGCCUUGACUGUUCAACCCGCCUCUAUGUAGCUGCUAGCUAGACUGUUGAUUACUACUAAAUUUGUGAUUUUAUUAAUCUCAAGAUCGAUGCAGCAAAACCCCAUUGAAGAAACGUGCUAGAAGCCAGUUCCACGUUCGGCUAACCUGAACGUUCAUCGCUACCUAGGUAUGGCUGCCAAGUUUCCUUUAGUAAUGUAUAUGCAUCAUGUUCAGACAUGCCUGCAAGGCUCCAUCUAGGUAGAUGUUACGUACUAUAGCUUCCCACCACUAAUUUCAUUUCGUUUCUUGAUUGUAAGUUGAACAAACUGAAUCUACGUAUAUAUGCAAAAAUAUUUCACUAUGCAAGCUACAAUAUUUGGUCUGCACUUGCAAUAGUUUUACUGCACUUGGAAUACAAUGUCGUGAAGAAAAUUAUUGUGUUUGCUACAACCUUAGCUUGACAUACACAUAUUCUGAAAUGGUUGGCGUUCAAACAGAACAAAGGUUAGCAUCCUUGUUCGCUCACCCCCGUUUUAGAAUGGUUUUGCACGGUGCAGAUUCAUUGAAUGGCCGAGUAUUAAUUUCAUUGAAUCUGUGGUGCGAUGUCUAGCUAGCAAUUGAAAAAACCAAUUAGUUAAUAAAUUGAAGUGGUCUUUUUUUUUGCGGGUGAAUUGAAGCAGUCUUGUUUGCAAGUGUACCACUUGUUGUGUUCUUAAAGAAAAGGACUUGGCUUCUCUAGCUUCGCAAGUCUUUAAUAAACAUCAUAAUACAGAGAUUGGGCUCAUCGCUUUAUUGACAUGCAUGUCAUCAUUUGUGAGAAGUCAUUUCCAGUACCAUUGAUAUUACAAACAUGUUGACCAGGCGCAAACUGAAAUAGAUCCAUCGAAGAUGUUCAAAACUGUUGUCUUUUUGUGCUGUUGUGUUCUAUCUUCUUGAACAACCCAGCCCUCACAUUUGUAGUAUAGGCCUAGAAUAGGUGUUUACUUCAUUACUAACUCCAUUUAUUUUGACUUUCUCAUCGACAGUAAGUUGUAGUAAAAUACUGAAUCUACCGACAUGCAUUCUAGAAUGGUCAUCUUCAAACAAAGGUGAGACUCAUUUACUCCCCUGGUUCGGUUGUGAUUGUUCAAUCACUUUCCAUUAUCUGUAGCCUGGGUUCGCUGCUAGACUACCUUUUACUGUUCCAGUUGCAAAAUAUAUCUCUCAACGGAAUAUACUAACCGAGAAGGUUGAAAAAUCCCACGAGAAGACGACAUGCUAGCGGCCAGCUCUCCUUUUGCCAACAUGUGAAUCAAGGCUGCAUCGAUCGGCUAACUAAUGAGAUCAAUGAGUUUCUUCAUGAGGACCUCAGAUUGAUUUCCAAGUUUUCUCAUAGCUAGCAACUCCUCCAUCCGGGUUUAUUAGGCCGACCAAUAAAUUUAAGUAUGUCACAAAAAUUAUAUCAUCAGAAAGCUCUUUCAAAUACAAAUCCAAUCAUGUACUUUUUGUACCAUAUAUUUUAUAUUUUACUGGGAAUAUGGAUGGUCAAAGUUUGGCUCAAAAUAGUGGGGGGCCUAAUAAACCUGGACGGAGGUACUAGCUAGCAAGUCUAAUUAGUGAGUAAUAUAUUCAGACCUGCAGUCUCCAUCUUAAUUAGUUUAUUACUUAACAAUGCCCUCAACACCUGCACAGAAAACAAGGUCUGAUCCGUGGAACAGAUGAUACUAGCAAAAAUGUCUCUUACAGAUACUAGCAAAAAUGUUCUGUAGGUAAUGUUGUUAUUAUUGUUUCUUUCAUCAACAUACACCAUGUUAUGUAUGGAGCAAUUA